UUUCAGUAUAUUCAGACCUUAGAACCUUAAAAACACUCUCUCAAGGUUCUCUCAUGAUCCAAGACCCAUACAAAGGGCAAACACCACAAAUCAAGUGUCGGGAAUCCCGUGGCGCUAGUAAGUUUCUUGUUCUUCUUGUUGUUGCUGAUUUUUGUGUUGUUACAGCUCAUGUGGGAGGUUGUUUUAAGUGUUUUAUGUUCUGUAAAUACUCCCUCAAGUUUUUAAUAUCAAUCCUAGGUGAUUUCAAGUCUUCUAAAGUAAUUCUAGUGCCGAAAAAAUUGAAUUGAUUGGUAGUUUCGCUUCCUUGUUCUUGUGGCAGCAUUGGAGGGAUAUUUCGUGGACAAUUAAGGUCAAAUUGGAGUUUUUCUUUCUGUUUAAAGGUAAGGAACCUCUUACUCUACAUGUAUUUAAGAUUAUCCAAGUUGCGGCUAAGUCGUUGAAGCUAGAACUUGUGAAAUAUAUAUAUCGAAAGGCUUGGUAGUAAUGUUGUUGGUUGGUGGACUAUUUUGGGAGGCUCAAUAUAAUUAUUGUUAAUGUUGUUUGGGCUGUUUGGUGAUUGUCUUGACUUGUGGGAAGUCAUAUAAAUAGGGGAGGUUCUGUCCGUUUCAUCAUAAAAUAGAUUGCGGUCGAUACAUAAUAGUUACAACACUUAAACGAUAACAAUAGUGUCAUUUCUCUUAUUGUAGACUAAGGAAUCGUGACAUUUGCAUAGCUUGAGGUUGGGCAGUAUAUACAAGGUAUGUGAGGCUAUCCCCUUCAUUCAUUUGCACGACUUUGAUUGUACAUAAUGUAAUGAACGAGUUUCCAAAUAUACUCUACUCUUAGAAGCUAGCAGUACUUACAUUGUUGCCCUUCUUAUGGAAUGAUUGAUGUUGAUGUUACUUCUCUUAUUUUUAUGUUAUCAAUGUUGUUGGUACUUUCUUAUUCUUAUAAGAUUCUUGAUGAAGAGUUAAUCCUAAUAACGUGUACGGAGGAUACCGACCUUACGUUACUCCGAAAGGUUCAAAAUGUGAUUCCAAUAAGUCCAGCACGCAUCAUAUAUAUGUAUCUAUUUUACUCUACCGAGCUGCGCUAUAGUCAGCCGGGUACGGUAACCUAUUGUGCAACC
rnacentral:lncRNA from 1 species